rnacentral:rRNA from 1 species
AUUGAACGCUGGCGGCAGGCUUAACACAUGCAAGUCGAGCGGAGCGGCGGACGGGUGAGUAAUGCCUAGGAAUCUGCCCGGUAGUGGGGGAUAACGUCCGGUACUGGGCGCUAAUCCCGCAUACUAUCAGAUGAGCCUAGGUCGGAUUAGCUAGUUGGUGGGGUAAAGGACUACCAAGGCGACGAGCCGUAACUGGUCUGCGAGGAGGAUCAGUCACACUGGAACUGAGACACGGUCCAGACUCCUACGGGAGGCAGCAGUGGGGAAUAUUGGACAAUGGGCGAAAGCCUGAUCCAGCCAUGCCGCGUGUGUGAAGAAGGUCUUCGGAUUGUAAAGCACUUUAAGUUGGGAGGCGUUACCAACAGAAUAAGCACCGGCUAACUUCGUGCCAGCAGCCGCGGUAAUUC